UGUGAGGUGGUCGAUUAAGUCGGUAGAUUGUAAAUCUAUGAAUAAGUAAUUAAGCUUUCUCAUAA
rnacentral:tRNA from 1 species